rnacentral:sRNA from 1 species
AGCAGCCGCGGUAAUUCCAGCUCCAAUAGCGUAUAUUAAGUUGUUGCAGUUAAAAAGCUCGUAGUUGAAUUUCGGGAUUAAUUUACUGGUCGUGCUAUUGUACGUACUGGUUUUAUUGAUUCCUCCCUUCUGACGAACUAUGAUGUCAUUAAUUUGGUGUCAUAGGAGAUCAGGACUGUUACUUUGAAAAAUUAGAGUGUUUAAAGCAGGCUCACGCUUGAAUACAUUAGCAUGGAAUAACGGAAUAGGACGUUUGAUUCUAUUUUGUUGGUUUCUAGGAUCGACGUAAUGAUUAAUAGGGAUAGUUGGGGGCAUUAGCAUUCAAUUGUCAGAGGUGAAAUUCUUGGAUUUAUUGAAGACUAACUACUGCGAAAGCAUUUGCCAAGGAUGUUUUCAUUAAUAAAG